UUCUGCUCUAAUAAGGUUUGGGCCUGGCUUGGUUAGAGGCCUAAGAUCAGUCCACUUGAGGUCCUAUGAUCCCCUCUCAGCCACUUACCUCUUUCAUUCUGUUUAUUUUCGCAAGAUAGUCCCCUCUCUUACUCCCUCUCUUUUCUCUAUCAGAGAGUUCUGUUAGGGUUUGAUCCAGAUUCUUCUCGGAGUUAGCAUAAUGUCAUUCCUCCAUCUUCUGAAGCUACUGUUGUACUGUGGUGAGCCUUGUUAGAGCUUUUUUGCGAUGCAGUUCUCUUUUUUCAAGUGAUCAGAUGGGGGAAUACCUAAAGAUAGAUCGGUAGGUGGUGACGCUGCUGUGUAGUUUGGAAAUGUUAGCUAUGGCUCUUAUGAGCAGCCUUAAGGCACCAAUGCCUUUGUAAUUUCAUUGCUCUAAGAGCAGUCUUUUGCAAAACUAUUGCACUUAGUGUUCUUGUUCAUGGCAUUGUGUAGUGCCUUUGCUUUUCUUUUCGGUAUACUUGGAUGAUUGUAAAAUCCUUUAUACUAUAUGGCUUGUGCUCUACUUUUACUAUAAUUA